rnacentral:rRNA from 1 species
GAUGAACGCUGGCGGCGUGCCUAAUACAUGCAAGUUGAGCGAACGGACGAGAAGCUUGCUUCACUGAUGUUAGCGGCGGACGGGUGAGUAACACGUGGAUAACCUACCUAUAAGACUGGGAUAACUUCGGGAAACCGGAGCUAAUACCGGAUAAUAUUUUUAACCGCAUGGUUCAAAAGUGAAAGAUGGUCUUGCUGUCACUUAUAGAUGGAUCCGCGUUGCAUUAGUUAGUUGGUAAGGUAACGGCUUACCAAGGCAACGAAGCAUAGCCAACCGGAGAGGGGAAUCGGCACCACGGGAACGGAGACACGGUCAAAACUCCUACGGGAGGCAGCAGUAGGGAAUCUUCCGAAAUGGGCGAAAGCCUGACGGAGCAACGCCGCGUGAGUAAUGAAGGUCUUCGGAUCGUAAAACUCUGUUAUUAGGGAAGAACAUAUGUGUAAGUAACUGUGCACAUCUUGACGGUACCUAAUCAGAAAGCCACGGCUAACUACGUG